UACGUAGGGGGCAAGCGUUGUCCGGAAUCACUGGGCGUAAAGCGCACGCAGGCGGCGAUCUACGUCCGGGGUGAAAGCCCAGAGCUCAACUCUGGGACUGCCUUGGAUACGGGAUCGCUUGAGGAUCGGAGAGGCAAGGGGAAUUCCACGUGUAGCGGUGAAAUGCGUAGAGAUGUGGAGGAACACCUGUGGCGAAGGCGCCUUGCUGGCCGAUUUCUGACGCUGAGGCGCGAAAGCGUGGGGAGCAAACAGG
rnacentral:rRNA from 1 species